rnacentral:rRNA from 1 species
CCUACGGGUGGCAGCAGUGAGGAAUAUUGGUCAAUGGGAGAGAGUCUGAACCAGCCAAGCAGCGUGAGGGAAGACGGCCCUAUGGGUUGUAAACCUCUUUUGUCAGGGAAUAAAACCAGGGACGUGUGCCGGUCUGCGUGUACUUGAAGAAUAAGGAUCGGCUAACUCCGUGCCAGUAGCCGCGGUAAUACGGAGGAUGCGAGCGUUAUCCGGAUUUAUUGGGUUUAAAGGGUGCGUAGGUGGGUUGUUAAGUCAGUGGGGAAAGUUUGCGGCUCAACCGUCAAACUGCAAUUGAGACUGGCAGUCUUGAGUACAGUAGAGGUAGGCGGAAUUCGUGGUGUAGCGGUGAAAUGCAUAGAUAUCACGAAGAACUCCGAUUGCGAAGGCAGCUUACCAA